rnacentral:rRNA from 1 species
UAGACUUGACAUCUUCUGCAUUACCCUUAAUCGGGGAAGUUCCUUCGGGGACAGAAUGACAGGUGGUGCAUGGUU